GUGCUCACUUGGGCAUCACAGAUACUAAAAACUGGAAGGUUGCAGAGAAGUGAGCAUGGCCCCUGCGCAAGGAUGACACACAGACUCCUGAAGCGGCCCACGGAGCC
ensembl:snRNA U6 U6 spliceosomal RNA